AACGAACGCUGGCGGCACGCUUAACACAUGCAAGUCGAACGAGAUCUUCGGGUCUAGUGGCGCACGGGUGCGUAACGCGUGGGAAUCUGCCCUUUGGUUCGGAAUAACAGUUGGAAACGACUGCUAAUACCGGAUGAUGACGAAAGUCCAAAGAUUUAUCGCCAGAGGAUGAGCCCGCGUAGGAUUAGCUAGUUGGUGUGGUAAAGGCGCACCAAGGCGACGAUCCUUAGCUGGUCUGAGAGGAUGAUCAGCCACACUGGGACUGAGACACGGCCCAGACUGCUGCGGGAGGCAGCAGUGGGGAAUAUUGGACAAUCGGCGAAAGCCUGAUCCAGCAAGGCCGCGUGAGUAAUGAAGGCCUUAGGGUUGUAAAGCUCUUUUACCCGGGCUGAUAAUGACAGUACCGGGAGAAUAAGCUCCGGCUAACUCCGUGCCAGCCGCCGCCGUAA
rnacentral:rRNA from 1 species